GACGAACGCUGGCGGCGUGCUUAACACAUGCAAGUCGAACGCUGAAGCUCAGCUUUUGUUGGGUGGAUGAGUGGCGAACGGGUGAGUAACACGUGAGUAACCUGCCCCCUUCUUUGGGAUAACGCCCGGAAACGGGUGCUAAUACUGGAUAUUCACUGGUCUUCGCAUGGGGGUUGGUGGAAAGGGUUUUUCUGGUGGGGGAUGGGCUCGCGGCCUAUCAGCUUGUUGGUGGGGUGAUGGCCUACCAAGGCUUUGACGGGUAGCCGGCCUGAGAGGGUGACCGGUCACAUUGGGACUGAGAUACGGCCCAGACUACUACGGGAGGCAGCAGUGGGGAAUAUUGCACAAUGGGCGCAAGCCUGAUGCAGCGACGCCGCGUGAGGGAUGGAGGCCUUCGGGUUGUGAACCUCUUUCGCUAAUGGUCAAGCCGCAACAAUGGUCGUGGUGAGGGUAGUGGGUAAAGAAGCGCCGGCUAACUACGUG
rnacentral:rRNA from 1 species